rnacentral:rRNA from 1 species
UACGUAGGGGGCUAGCGUUGUCCGGAUUUAUUGGGCGUAAAGAGCGUGUAGGCGGCCAGGUAGGUCUGCUGUGAAAACUCGAGGCUCAACCUCGAGACGUCGGCGGAAACCAUCUGGCUAGAGUCCGGAAGAGGAGAGUGGAAUUCCUGGUGUAGCGGUGAAAUGCGCAGAUAUCAGGAAGAACACCAAUGGCGAAGGCAGCUCGCUGGGACGUGACUGACGCUGAGACGCGAAAGCGUGGGGAGCGAACAGG